CGCGUAGGCGGCCGUUUAAGUCUGGAGUGAAAGUCCUGCCUUCAAAGUGGGAAUUGCUUUGGAUACUGGAUGGCUUGAGUGCAGGAGAGGUAAGUGGAAUUCCCAGUGUAGCGGUGAAAUGCGUAGAGAUUGGGAGGAACACCAGUGGCGAAGGCGACUUACUGGACUGUAACUGACGCUGAGGCGCGAAAGUGUGGGGAGCAAACA
rnacentral:rRNA from 1 species